AUUAUAAAGAUAUAAUAUAUUCCUUUUAUUUUGUUGUAUACAUUGCAUCCUUAGUUUCAAGUAAUCUUUGUGGAAGCUAAGUAAGAGUUUAGGCUGUAGGGCACACAGUUGUAUUCAUGCCAGCUAACCUGAGACAGCAGCUGUUUUGUGUGCAUACCAAGUGACCAAUAGAUAUGUCACUUUUAACACAAUGCUCAAUGCUUCUGGUGAUUAGUAUUCCUUGGGUUUAUAAUUAAAUUUGUCCCUUUAUACCUCUGAUCCCAUACUCUCCCAAAGGAGAAGCCUCCAGUUGAUAUGGGCCAUUUUUCCAACAUAAUUUUCCCUCUCACUUCUCGUCAAUGUAUUCUUCAGCCUUACCAGUCUGUAUGAAUGUGGGCCUCUCAGCCACACUUAGCUCUUCUGUUCACCUUCCUCCAUAAACCUACUACUAUGAAUCCUUGGCUGCAUCAUCUCAUUAUUGUAUUGUGUUCCUUCCUUUCUUCCACUCUACAUCUAGCAUUCUCUGUUCUCUCUGUAACGUACCUGCCGGCAUACCAACACCGCAGAAGCCAGUUAAAAGCCAACUGGGAAAAUUGGGAAUAAUCCCUUGUGCAUGGCCAUGGUUAUUUACCGGAUCCAGUUUCUCCUCAGCCGAAAAAUACCCGUAGAGGUUAAUAUGUCAUAAGUAGAUAAGGGAAGAGAGCGAGAAAGCUAGCUUGGGUUGGCUCUCCUGAUAUAAAUCCAGCCGAAUUCCUAUUUUUAUAUAUAUUUAUACGUUAGGACUUAGAAAUUAAGGGAAAAUUAAGUUUAGAAUUAACAUACAAAAAGACAACCUCAGAAAGGCAGAGGAAGGAUAGAUUAAUGUACCAAGCUGAAAGGCGAGAAGGAAAAGUGUUGGAACCUUGAGGUAGCCACGUCACCAGGAGAGGUAGCGAGGCAACUGCUCUGCCUGGCCAGAUUCAUUCUGGACUUAACCUUUCCGCAUGGCACAGGUGAGGGCGCGAGACAGCUGAAGGCCGGUGUCCCGGGUUAGACAAGGCGAGUGGCCCGCCACCUUGAAGCCGCCCCCAUUGAGAGUCGGGAAUGGACCCAGACGCCAGUGAUGGACAAGGGUCAUGCCCUCAGUCAUGAGUGCCUGAAUUGAGCCUAGGUAAGGGCGAGCCAGUCCAGUCCCUGCCGCCCCCGCGACCAGCAGGCUGGUGAUGAGAGUAGAAGCGGCUCCGAAACCCCCCUUUAGGCACGGCACAACAGCAUAUAGUGUAGCUCUCAGGCCUCCACCAAGCCAAGGAAAUUGUGUAAAACGGGUAAGGGGCAUCUGCUAGGUGGACGAGGGGAAAACAGCGACCUCACCCCCCCCUUUAGCUGUAACAGUCUGAUCUUUCUCUCAUACUUACCCUUCUCUUCCUAUUUUUGUCCUGAGUGUGUCAUGAGUGUUUUUAUUUGUGUAUGCACGCCAAUGCGGGAAGUUGAAAUCGAAUUGCCUAGUCAAUCGGGCGGUGGCCCUGUGAUAUAUACCUACAUGUGGUUAUCUCUCGUGUAUAGCCUUUAUCGAUAAGAAUGUUAGGAAUUAGAAGAAAGAUUUACAAUUUUGUAUUAACCAAAACAGGCUACCCUUCCAUCAGGAGUGAGGAUUAAACCAAUAAAUUGUAUUCUGUC